GCCGCUGGCGGGGAGCAAGCCGCGGCCGGCUCAUCCAGACUAUUCUCGGGGAGGGGGCAGGGCGGAGACGCAGGGCGCCUCCCGCUCCUCGCCUGUCCCAAGGGGGCGCGAAGGUCACACGGCCCAUCUCCAGGGGAAAGCACCUCCCUGAGGGGUGCGCGCCGGGCACGCAGACGGGACUCGGGAACGCGGCCUCGUGCCCCUUUCCAAAGCUCUUUCGCGGCCACCUCUCCGGUGCAAUCCCUCUCGGCGGCCCGCGGAGGCAGGAUAAGUUAAGCGAAAUCUAAAACUCCCUGUGGCUCCUGCUGUAUUUCCAUGGAGACAGCUGAGCUCAGAGAAGAAAGGACUUCAGAUGUUACAUGCAUAAGACUCACUCACAGGCAGAUAUCACUGGCCUCUUGCUACAGAUGAGGAAACCGAGGCUCGGGUUUGACCAAGGUCCUGUGGUUGGUGCAACCCCCUCAUUGAACAGCCUGAACGUUUCAGGGGCGCCAGCCUGAACCGGUUUGAUUUAUCUCUUCCCUGCUUCCAGCUUGGCUCUAUCAUAUUUCUUCUGCCGGCCCCUCUGUCUCUUAGGCAGCGCCCACAUUUCUGGACACGUGUUGAAAGAUGCUCUGCCAUAGUUGAACGAAUGGAUGAUCAUGGACGAACUGUUUCAUCAAACUUUUAUGAAAAAGCUCUACUGUGCCAGGCAGGCCCUAUUUUAUAGCCCAGCCCAACCAGACCGUUUCCAGAUGCCAACACUACGUCCAGUGUAGGGACAUCACACCUUCCCUCACUACGGCCCGGCACCCCCCCACCUCCACCCCCCCGUCUCUGCUUCGGGAUCUGGAAGGCGCGGAGGCAAAGGGGCUCCUUGGUUUCUCCUCCCGCCCGCUGAAUCGGGUCCCAGGCGUGGACCUCGUGUGCGUGCAUGCGUGGGCGAGCGUGCACGUGUGCAUGGUGGCGGGGGACCCACAGCACAGCCCCCUCUGCAUGGUCUGCUCCUGCUCUGCAGCCCGCGUCCCCAGACUCCAUCCCGCAGCUUCUGGGGCCUUCUUGAGUAGGCUGCUAACCUCAUGCUCUAAGCUUGGCCAUUGUCCUCCCUGGU